rnacentral:tRNA from 1 species
GGGAUUGUGGCUUAAUGGUAGAGUGCUUGCCUAGCAUGCAUGAAGCCUGGUUAGAAUCCUCAGUACUA